GUGCCCUCUGUACUUUGGUUACAGCACUGGAAAGUCAUUGUUUCUGAAAAUCUCCUCUUCUGUGGAAGAUCAUGUCUACAUCACCACUUUCUUCUCUUGCUCUUCAACCUGGUGCCCAGUUUCUGCCCAGUUCUUUUUUGUUCCCUCUUGUGUCUGGUCUCGGGACACUUCCCCCUUCCCAGUGGCACCAGACCCUCUCCCACUCUUUGCUGCCCACCACCUCUUUGCUCAGGCUUUUUUACUUCCCUCGGGUUAUAAGUCUGUGCUGUGCGCCUCCAUCUCCGUACUUCAGCAGGCAGCACCAAGGUCUGCUGGUGGAGAGGACAGUGACAGAGCUGGGGGAUUGCACGGCUGCAGGGAAAGGGCUCCGGCCUCUUUGUUUCUUCCUUUCACAAUGCUAUUUUAAAGCUUAAAACAAACAAACAAAACAAAACAAAACAAACAAACAAACAAAACCCACCACUAAUAGGAUUUGCUUUUCCCAUCACACUCCACUACAGGCUGUUGCCUGUCACAAGCCAUGCCUGCUCUCCCCGCACCCCCCAGCUUUCAUGCACCCUGCUAAAUUAUGCACACACAUGCUGGGGUCAAACCAAUACGGAGAGGAAAUAAAGGAGGCAAGGGGAGAGGUGAGGAAAUGGGGUCAUGCAGGACAGGGGUCAUUAACAACUAGAAGGGGAUGUUUUGAGAGGGGGGAAGGUAGGAUGAAGAGAUCCAAGCAGCAAGGGAGCCCUGACAUGCUGACACAGCGGCGAGCAGAGCUCUGGAGUCUGAGGACCGUGCGGCAUGGGAGGGUUUUACCGACAGUGGGUCAAAUGGCUGGUGUGUGCAGGUGAAGUGCUGCUGUCACAGUGUUUUGAAUUAAGACCCCAAGGGGAUGGAGCUGGCCUGGAGUCCCCACUCGUGGCCCUGUCAGCGCGGGCCUGGAGCUCCCGCCAUGCUGCCGCCCCGUGAGCAUGAGCCCCAAGAGGCAGAGUCCUCCCUAUGUAGUGCAGGGGCCUUCAACGCUCGUUGUCUGCACAACCACCUUGUGGUAGAAAACAAAGGAAAACAGCAUGAGAGGAAACGCUGAUGUGGGCAUGUUUGCCCUAGCCUGGCUGGCAUGGCGAGGGUGAGUGGCUUCAGAGAUAAAGAAGUGAAGAAAGGAGAAAUGCUGAGGCGCAGGCCCACAGCUGCAGCCUGGGCGUGCUGUGUUGAGCUGACACACGUACACAGGGACGGAGGGCGGUGGUCUGAGGUGCCUGGAGCAGCACCGAUUCCCUCCUCUCCCUGCCUAAACUUCCAGUUUUGUUGGAAGUGAAUAGUGACCAGAAGGGCUGAGCAGCGCUGGAGAUCAGAGAAGUUCUCCUCAUAGAUAUAAAUACAAACUUAGGAGCCAGACUUCAGACACCAAAGAUACGUGUAUGCCACGUCCAUGUACCUACCACCGUCUCAAUUUUAAGCAAGAGCCAUCCCCACCUGGAAUGAACCGGUUUUGCUGAGGCAACCACUUCCAGAGCAGCAAGAGGGAUUCCUUCUGGCCCAGAAAGAGCUGGCGUGACCCAAAGCUGGUGGUGCUCAUUGGUACCAGCUGCUCAGGCUCAUGCUCUCCAGGUGCUGGUGUUCCUGAGGCCCCAGCAACUCACCAACUUUAGUUUUAAACAAACUCAGGAGUAUUUGCAAGUGAAUGUGUGGAUAAAUGAUCAAUGGAGAAACCCGGGAAAUGGCUGCACCUUCAGAGUGUGGGAAGUCUGGAGGCCAGAUUUGGGUCACUGGUGGCGUGUCUGAUUCUCCAAGAUGGUUCUCACCUUUUCAUCUGCUGGCUGAAAAUCCUCAUUUCCUCCUGUGAGACAUCACAGGUUCCAUCAGAAGCAGCCCUGCUCAAACUGAGAAAGUAUUUUCCUCUCCUGUGGAUAAAUGGUCAGAAAUAACAUUGUCCAACUGCAAUGCAGUUUUAAUCUGUUCUGGUCUUGGACAACGGAAUGACAAACAUUUUUUUUUUUUACAGUUUUGUAGAUGCGUUACCAAACAAACAACAAAACAAGAUAGCGUAACACAAUGCAAACAUGGAGAAACUCUACCAUUUAUUCUAGCUCUUUAUGAUUUAUAGGUGUUUCUGAGAUUAGACCGUUCACCAAUGUCUCCUCCUUAUACCAUAACCCAGUAAACUCCUCAUUUCCAGUAAAGCACCUACCUAUGCAAUUACCUGCUAGUAUAUGAUUAAAAGCUUGACGUUUAUUAGGAUACACAAUUUUAAAUUAAACACAAACUUAAGUGGCUUGUUAAAUAGGCACCGGCAGUACAGCUUUAAUUGCUUUUGCUGAAUUGGGGGUCUAAGCCGGUUUAAGGCAGCUAGGUCUUGGGUCCUCUUGUUACCAAAGGUUUCAGCAUCUGCCUAGAAAUCCAAAGCAACGCUUAUCUGAUGUUUCAUAUAGCAGGCAACCCAGUAUAAACCACUGUGAAUCUCACUGGCCACCCAUGGGAAGGCAGAGGGCAAAUUAAGAAGCUGAAUCCUGCAUGCCAAGAGACUUGGCAGUUCACACACAAGUCCCUGUGCUGGACAACGUCAGCAACAAAAAGGAGGAGGUCUUGCUCUCCCUCUGGCACAGGGAGUAGGUGAGGGCCCACUCAUCUCCUGCAGGGUGGCACUGAGUAAUGAGGGAUCUUCCACAGGUAUCCCGCCUGAGUGAGUUUAUCAGUGCAAAUGGGGCACUGCCCAAAGGGCAGGCACUGCUGGUGGCAGCGUGUGGCUGUUGAAGCGUUUUGGUGUCUGAGUAAACUUCUCAAAGGUCAGCUGGGGCUUGGCAAAGAGAUGAAAGGGAACAAAUGAAACAGGGGCUCAGGCAUAAUGCAAAGAAAAACCAGGCUAAUAUUUGCAGCUGGUGCCCGCACCUCUGUCAGCAUGCCAGGGAGCUCCAAAUGGAUGUGUAAGUUGCAACCCUGCUGUGCUUCGGUGAAGCUCCAAAUGAAUAUCCGACCAUAAACACACACUUUUGCAAUAAGAACAAACCGCUAGUCUCACACGUGUAAAAAUUCCACCUCAAAGGGAAAACUAUUUACUUAUUAUUAAUGAUACUGUUAGCGAUGUUUUCCAAAUAGACUUGGGAGAUUAAAUAAAAGUAACUGAAAACUAACCAAACAUUCAGACCAAACUUUAACUAGCGAUAAGACAUACAGACACACAAACUUUGCAGUGACUUAAAACAGUUUAAUGUAAUUCCAAGACAAAGUGUGAUUACAUUUCUACACAUAUACAAUAUGCAUAUGUGAGUUUACAAAUUCUGAUUAAUAACUCGUUUCACCUCAGAGACCGAAAAAAUGAUCAAAAAGAAACCGUGAAUAACAAGCUAUAACAUAGUUCACCACAACGGGACCUCCUUUCUCACCCUACAGUUAGUAAUAUUACAAUUAAAAUAACUAUAUUCUUCUAUAAUGUAUUUUCUGUUAAAAUCAUCUCAUAAAUUUACAAUGCUAUUAUUAGUUUCCAAGACUAAUAUAAAUUCACUCCAUUUUUCUACAACGAAAAUGAUUAUUAAUUAGAAGCACACAACGUCAUGAUGAAAAACACAAGCAUUUUUUUUUUUUUAGUAGCAAGAACUUGAUUGGUUAAGAAUUAAUUUUCUUGUAAAACAUUCUAAAGCCAAGUAAAAUAUCCAUUCUUAUAACAUACCUAUAAUAUGAGACUAAGGAAUAGGUUACAUAGAGGUCUACAACACAUCAGUUUUUUUUGUUGUUUUUUGUUUUUUUUUUUUUUAAAUAAGAAAGACAUAUUUUCCAAAAGAAAAAAAAAAGGGGGAAAAAGAAAAGAAAUGAAGAAAAAAAGGGACAAUUCACAUAGGAAAAAAAAAGCAGUACACAAGAAAAUACUGUUGCACACAAUAAUUUUCACAAAGAUUAACAUGGAUUAACACUCUUAUUACAGAAACCGUACAGUGAAGGAACACAACGGCUCAGGGCUUUCAUGGGGUAUCUGGGCUGAGAUGAUGCUGUAGAGAAAGAACCAUUUGAGAUCCAGAGCUGGGGCAGGGGCAUCUUUUCCCUUGCAGUGGUGAUAGCAUUUCACAGCUUUUCCUCCCAUCUCUCCCCCUCAAGAAUUUUGGUUCAGUGUACGUUAACUUCCACUUUCCAUCCAGGGUGUGCUGGGCUUGUGGGCAGUCGAAAGGUAUAAAAUGCUCCCUCCACUUCCCCCUUCCUGAUUUUAAAAGGAUUUUACUGUUUGUAAAUAAUGUUUCACCUCUUGGUUCAUUUUUAACUACCCGAAGUCUAGCCUUGUCAACUUCCUAGAUGCCCCUCUUUCUUCUCGCCAUCUCGCUCCCUCUCUUACUCUCUCUCUCUCUCACACUCCUUUAAUAAAGCUAUUAAUUACACUUCCGCUCCUUUCAGAAAUUUGGUUUGGUAUGAAAGAUACAGGCUACAUUCUGAUUCUGCCCAAGUAGAAUCGGUACCCAAAAAGCCUUGGUUUCUUGGUUGGUGAAACAGGGGAUGAGGAGAUCCUUUUUACACCUGAAAUGGUUGUGCCCUGGGAUAUCCAUGGAAGUUUCAUUUUGAAAAGAAUACAGAGCAAAAAAUAAAAUUAAAUAAAACACAAAAUCGAACACAGAAGGAAUAAAGGUGGGGGAGAAGGGGAGCCAGAAGUGUCGUAUGUAACCAUGUGACAUGGAAGUAUGGCAGAAGCCUGUUUUUUCCUUUCCGAGGGCAGCGGUGCUAUACAUAACCAUUCGGAUUCUAUGGGAUGUGCGUUGCCAGUGGCCAAAACCCCUUCUUGCCUGACAAGUUGCAAGCCAAAGAAUUCGAAAGGACUGUCUCCUUCGCUUGAGUGUGCUGGUGUUUGUGGGUCUGACCCCCCCUUAAGAACAAAAGGUCGUGCAAGUGCUGAGGGCAGCAAAAGGCAAUGAAAGGGGGGAUGAUCCCCGCCAGCCCCAGCGCUGCUUGUGGGCUGCCGCGCGAUGCGUUGUCGCUUUGGUUCCGUGGGUUACGGGGUGGGCACAGCAGCCCCAGGCUGCACUGGGGGAUUGUAUCAGCAGCCAGUGGCACCACGAGCAUCUCCAAUGCUCCUCUGCAACACCGCUGACCCUGGGGUCGCUGGGACCAGUGCCUCAGGCAUGGGGCAGAAAUGUAAGGGGCCCCCCUAGGGCACCCAGGCUCCUCCACAGAAGCUCGGUUCUUCAGACAGACACAGAUUUAUGUUUUUAAAUGCCAGUUCCUGUGCUUCCAUGACCUAGCAGUACCAUUUUGCCCAGCAGACAUUUAUACCAUGUUCAUUGGUUACUCAAGUGACAGAACACAAAAGAGCAAGCUAGACAGCUAGGCGAGACUGGGGAGGGGGUAGUGUGACAUACCCAAAUGCAAAGUACACCGUAACAGCAGCAGGGAGACAGCACUGAUGGGAACUGACGCUGGCUAAGAAAACAAAGUUGACAACGAGAUGGUCAAUGAACUUUGUAUUUAGUUUACUGGUUCAAAAAGUUUCUGCGGUGGUAAGCACCGUUUGUAAUAACGGGGUGAACAGACGAAAGCCAAAUUACAGCAUUGCCUCUGAGUGGCUGUCAUACACCACACACAUACACACACACACACACGCACAAAACCAAAAUAAAACAGGCAAUCACUAAACUCAGGAAUUAAUCAUUUGGCUAAAGAUUUAUCAAAAGUACAAUACAAUCCUUCCUUUGAAUAUCCUUCAUUCUCUUACAUGGGUAUCUUCAUCCAGAUGAGGAUCCUACACAGAACAGUGAAUUUGGAAGUACUGCGCUCCCUGCUUCAACCCAAGGAGUUUGAUAAAGUAUGGUAUUAAACGAGCACACAAACAAAUAGCUUAUCUGUUGGACUAGAGGUGCUAAAUCCACAAAGUGGGUGGAGUGUUUUUCAACCAGACUUUGGAAUACAGUGGAUUACUUGAUCUCUGGACUGACUUUCCAACACUAUGUUAUAUCUCAGAACAGAAUAUACAUAUUAAAGACACACUUGUACUUUUCCAUUUGUAAAGGGCAAAAUUAAAAAGAGGCAGCUGUAUUGAGUUUUUGAAGGUGUCACUUACAAACACAAGAUUUCCCUUAAAAAGUACCAGUUUAAAUGUAAACUAUAAAACACUGUAAUAACUAUAAAAUGUAGCCAGAAAACUGUUUAAGUAGCCACGGUCUAUUAUUCAGUUCAUAUUGGUUUAAAAUGUGACUCAUUAAAUAUCUUCUAGAAGGCCAAAGCAUUUUACAGUAGCUAUAAACAUAUAUACUUACAUGUGCAUUUAACAUCACAAUUGAUUAAAAUACAUAAAAGAGUAAUCUAUUCCUUGGUUUAACUUUUUUCUCUUUAAAGAUUCACUGUCUUCAGAAUUCACUCAAGCAACAAUGACCAGGGUGGGCAUUUAUCGCUAUUCCGCCCAUACAGAGUUUAGAGUCUUUGAAUCAAAGUUCAAGCUGGCUACAUGUUUUCAGAAAGGCUAAAACCAGGAUGAAUGCCCACAUUUGAGGUAAUUAUUGCCAUUAGGUCACAGUUUGCGUAAUAUAAGUGUAUCUAAAUCCUUCUGUAAAAAACCCGAGGAUACCCCUAAGUCUGCUGGCAUACCCUCUGUCGCCGUCAGGAUCCAGAAUCCUGACCGGCGGCGGGUUUGCUUCCAAAGGAGUCGGCGGUCCCUGAGCACCAGGCGCCUGGCGCAGCCGCCGACUGACCUAGAGCCCAGGCCAGCAAGCCUGCAGCAAGCCAGUUUUGGAAAAGAAAGGAAAAACAAAAAUCAGAGGUGCCAUAAAAGAGACAAAUAACAUUUCUGAUCAGAAUUCCAGACCAAAGCUUUUCUGUCUUAUUCCUUUCCAAACAAUUUGCUGGAAAAAAAAUAUAUCAAAACACAUUGGCAUUAAAUAUUAACUCUAUGCCAGCACUGCAAAAACUCCUUGGCUAUGUUCUGAAAAUGGGAUAAGCUUUGCUUUUGCUCUGAGCAUUGUUGCCCCAUUGCUUUCUGUUUCAAAGAGGAAACCUUGUUUUAAA